rnacentral:rRNA from 1 species
UACGUAGGGUGCGAGCGUUGUCCGGAAUUAUUGGGCGUAAAGGGCUCGUAGGCGGUUUGUCGCGUCGGGAGUGAAAUCCUUGGGCUUAACUCAGGGCUUGCUUUCGAUACGGGCAGACUAGAGGUAUGCAGGGGAGAACGGAAUUCCUGGUGUAGCGGUGAAAUGCGCAGAUAUCAGGAGGAACACCGGUGGCGAAGGCGGUUCUCUGGGCAUGAUCUGACGCUGAGGAGCGAAAGUGUGGGGAGCGAACAGG